rnacentral:lncRNA from 1 species
GAGGUAUGGGACUGUAGGUAUAGAGGUAUGGGACUGUAGGUAUAGAGGUAUGGGACUGUAGGUAUAGAGGUAUGGGACUGUAGGUAUAGAGGUAUGGGACUGUAGGUAUAGAGGUAUGGGACUGUAGGUAUAGAGGUAUGGGACUGUAGGUGGAGGUAUGGGACUGUAGGUGGAGGUAUAGAGGUAUGGGACUGUAGGUGGAGGUAUAGAGGUAUGGGACUGUAGGUGGAGGUAUAGAGGUAUGGGACUGUAGGUGGAGGUAUAGAGGUAUGGGACUGCAGGUGGAGGUAUAGAGGUAUGGGACUGUAGGUGGAGGUAUAGAGGUAUGGGACUGUAGGUGGAGGUAUAGAGGUAUGGGACUGUGGUGGAGGUAUAGAGGUAUGGGAUUGUAGGUGGAGGUAUAGAGGUAUGGGAUUGUAGGUGGAGGUAUAGAGGUAUGGGACUGUAGGUAUAGAGGUAUGGGACUGUA